rnacentral:lncRNA from 1 species
CUGCAGUAAGGAUAAAAUCAAAUCACAUGGUCACAGAAUCUCAUGAUUGGAAGUAAACUUCCAACUGGAGUUCAGCAGCUAACUGGGUGGGUGAGCAGAUGGCUGGAGCAUUGGAAGAGAGUGAGUUCAGGAAUCUCACUAAGAAGCGCAAAGUAAGAUGAAAGUUUUGGGGUCAGGAUUGAGACCAGGAGCCAGAAUGACCCCAACCCAAAAUCUCCAGAAAGGAUACUCCAGAAGGGCACAGUCUUGUAGUACAGGAGGAGAAGCCCUCAG